rnacentral:rRNA from 1 species
AUUGAACGCUGGCGGCAUGCCUUACACAUGCAAGUCGAACGGCAGCACGGGAGCGAUCCUGGUGGCGAGUGGCGAACGGGUGAGUAAAGUAUCGGAACGUGCCCAGUCGUGGGGGAUAACGUAGCGAAAGUUACGCUAAUACCGCAUACGAUCUAUGGAUGAAAGCGGGGGAUCGCAAGGCCUCGCGCGAUUGGAGCGGCCGAUAUCAGAUUAGGUAGUUGGUGGGGUAAAGGCCCACCAAGCCGACGAUCUGUAGCUGGUCUGAGAGGACGACCAGCCAAACUGGAACUGGGACACGGACCAGACUCCUACGGGAGGCAGCAGUGGGGAAUUUUGGACAAUGGGCGAAAGCCUGAUCCAGCCAUGCCGCGUGCAGGAUGAAGGCCUUCGGGUUGUAAACUGCUUUUGUACGGAACGAAAAGGACUGCCCUAAUACGGUGGUCCCAUGACGGUACCGUAAGAAUAAGCACCGGCUAACUACGUGCCAGCAGCCGCCGUAA